rnacentral:rRNA from 1 species
AUUGAACGCUGGCGGCAGGCCUAACACAUGCAAGUCGAACGAGUGGCGGACGGGUGAGUUAUGUCUGAGACUCCGCGUUAUGGAGGGGGAUAUCCUCUGAAAACUGUCGCUUACCCCACAUUACCUCGGAUGCGCCCAGAUGGGAUUAGCUAGUAGGUGGGGUAACGGCUCACCUAGGCGACGCUCCCUAGCUGGUCUGAGAGGAUGACCAGCCACACUGGAACUGAGACACGGUCCAGACUCCUACGGGAGGCAGCAGUGGGGAAUAUUGCACAAUGGGCGCAAGCCUGAUGCAGCCAUGCCGCGUGUAUGAAGAAGGCCUUCGGGUUGUAAAGUACUUUCAGCGGGGAGGCGUUACCCGCAGAAGAAGCACCGGCUAACUCCGUGCCAGCAGCCGCGGUAAUAC